GCGGCACCCCCAGCGCCGCUGGCCCCGAGCGGGCCGGGCCGGGCCCGGGGCUCCGAGCUCCCGGUGUGACCGUAAAGGGGCGGCCACACAGCACGGCGGAGGCCACGCCGGAAUGAGACCUGAUCGAGUGCUGGGUAAUAUCUUGGCAGCAGCUAGAGGUGGUUGUUUGGUAGCUGAAAUUAAUGGGGCUGCUGCUGCUACCCGUGAGGUUGAGAUAAAAGAAAAAGUAGAAGUAGUCCAAGAACCUAGUGAUCAUUAUGAUGGAGAAAUUCCAGAACUGGAAUUCCACAGCUUUGCCUAUACAAAGAAGGAGCCUUGCUGAGUUGAAGAAAAUAGAACAAAGUCAAUAAAAAGCUGACAUCCUGUGUGAGGAAACCAGCCUUUCCCUUGUGCUUCACUGAAUCCAUCUACAAAGGAUCUUUUGCAAAAUGUCUUGACAGCUGUGUGGAGUAAUUGCUGUAAAAUCAGACUGUGAUGCACAAAUCAGACCUCGGAAUCGUUUUGCUCACUGCUGCAGAGACUUGGAAGCUAUUUUGGAGGGAUUCUGGAAAAAACAUGUUCCCUGCCCCAGUGUCCCUGUUGUAGUGCUUAUGAGCAAUUGUGUCUCCAGCAUGUAUGUCCUGCCAUGCUGGAAUAUCUGUCUCAGAAUCUUUGGUCGGCAAGCAGCAGCUGGAGGGAGAUAAAUUUUGUUCACCAGGAGAGGGCUCUCACUGUCUUCUGUUAUUACUGAACCUGGGAGCAGAAAGACCAGAAGGUGAAGCUACAGAAAAAGUCAUGCAAGACCGGCUUAAAUCAGGUUAUAUCCACCUGUGUGCUUUAGAUACUAUUAAUGUUAAUUUUAAAUGAACAAAGCAAAUUUUACUUGUGCUUAAAAAAAAAAAAAAAGAAAAAAAAGUAUGCUGUUGCAGCUUAGCUCUAUUUUUUCCUUAGUAUGGCUGUUGUUAAACAACACUAAAAUAUUAUGGAAGUCACCUCUCUGUACAGCACCACCAAAAUGCAGAUUAACACUGCUUUUGGCUUUGCCAAGGAAAUCCCACAGAUGUGUGAAGACCAUUCCUGUUGGGGUGCUUAGUGUGGUUCAAACACUGUUAUGAAAAUAGAAGUUAAUGUUUCAGAGAGGAAAAAGGAUUUUUUUUCAUAUUUUUUAUUUCUUUUUUGCCAUCCUUCAAAUAACACUAUGUAUCAUGAAGAGUAAAUAUAUAAAGUGAUACAAACAUAGAAUCAGCCUGGCUGUGUCUUCUCUUAUUAUACCUCUUAUUUGUUAAAAAUGAAUGUGUAAAAUCUUUAUUUGGAUGCUAUUGCCUAAACAGGGUAACACAGAUGCUGUCUUUAUUUCUGCUGUAAACAAUCAACAGCAAGGUCAUUUGCAUUUCUAACAAUAGUUAGAAUGAGCUCUGCUUUUUAGUUCUUGUUUAACAUCAUAAAUUACGGGUUUACUGUAAGCAUUAUCUCAUGAAAUCCAUGCAUGUAAAGGAGAAGUCAGUUUUCUAUAGUGCUUGAAGUAAGUACUAUAA